UAGCCAGCAAUCAACAUCCUGCCUUGAAUGGAGCGGGAGGGAUAAGCUAAAAUUCGUGACUGACAGACACAGCACUUCUACAAACUAUAAAAGACCACUGUAAUUUACACAUUCUCUGGGUAUGUGAGAAGUUCUCCUCAAAAGCCAAGACAUCAGUUUCAAGUAACUUUCCUGGGAAUUGAGAGAAAGGAGACUCUGCCCACCACCAUAAUUCCUUGGAACAUCAUCAAAAACCAAGCUCCCUCCGUUCCAGCUGGCUUUGGAGCUGAUAAAUCAGCACACGCUUUUCACCCAGAUGAGGUGUAUUUUGGAAGUCAGCCUGGAGCCUGCGGUAACACCUAAUGGCCACGUGCAGCCAUCCAUACCACAAAUCCUUGUAAAGAAGAUAUAUGGGAGAGCUGAGUGCAAGUUUCUCAUACAUCCAAGGUUUUCACCGAGGCUGAAGAAUAGGCCUGAACAUGAAGAAAGAU